AUCCUUUUCCGGUUCGUAAGCGUAAUGAUUAGGUGUUCACAGGUGUGACAUGGUCCUCCCUUAAAUCUUGUGACACAUUUGGCACAUUACUCAUCUGACA